AAAAAAGCGAUGAAGAGAACAAGUAGUGACCGAUGCGGAGAAGACAGAAAGCUGCCGGCUGAUGAGAGGCGCAUGACACGGUUGGUGACGAAUACAUCUCGGAGCUUCACACCCAACGUAUAUGAGAACCGGUAUAGGAAUGCCGGAACUGCAAGUAGGCUGUGACGGAGUGGUGCACGUUAUUGCACUGAGUAAUUAUGUAUAGUAUGCUGCGGGUGCUGCAUAUGUACAGGAUAUACUCACUGAGGCAGAGGAUGCGAGUCGUCUGCGAAUAAAGGUGGUACCACGAGUUUAUGAGCCCUCGUCCUUUUG
rnacentral:ncRNA from 1 species